UUCUGAUUUAUCAUCACUGCACCACUAAGUUUAUCCUCCUGGUUCAGAGACAACAUUAACUGCUAGCAGCUAGCCUGCUGAGUAGCAUCGCUGUGAGGAGGGACCCCGCCCACGGGAAUUGCAACGCUGCACGGACAUCUACUGCUGCGCCUCGCCAUUCUGCUGCAUCGUCUACCAGCCUGUGGAUUCUUUUGAACUGUCGGAGGGACGGAGCCGCCCACCAAGAAAGACAACACGGAGACAAGGCGUGACCCAAAAGUGCCCAACAAACAGCCAGUGGACACAAAUCAACCAGCUUUGAAAGACAAAAACCAAAGAUCGGAAUGCUAUACAAAAAAAAAGCAUCCAAGAAGCAUCUGCGAUGGAUUGAAAGGCCCAAUCCUACUUGGGAGUGUGAAAUGCAUUCGAGACAGAUGUUGACCUGCCU